UUUCCGUAGGUGAACCUGCGGAAGGAUCAUUAAUGAGUUGUCAUGGGGUUCGAUGCUGGCAGCCAAUUUUUGGAUGCAUGUGCUUGCCCUAACAAUCAUCUUCCAAACACCUGUGCACAUUUUUGAGGGAGUCUUGAGUUGGUUGCCGCUCUUGGGUGAUUUUCUCACAUUCCCUUAAAUCAUUAUACGCUAUUAACGAUGUUGAACGUGCUCUGUGUCGCAAGGCUAUUAAUAUAAUACAACUUUUAACAACGGAUCUCUUGGCUCUC
rnacentral:misc_RNA from 1 species